rnacentral:rRNA from 1 species
GAACCAUGAUAUUGACCAUGUUCAUGUCUUGUUCCGCGCAACACCGCAUACGGAGAUGGCUAAGUUCCUGAACGCUUAUAAAUCAUCAAGUUCUCGAAUGGUUAAGAAACUAUUUCCAGAAAUUAAGCGUCAGUUGUGGAAAUCCGCUUUUUGGACCCAAAGCUAUUGUUUAAUUAGUACUGGUGGUGCACCGUUAGAAGUAGUAAAAAAGUACAUUGAAAGUCAAGGUAGAAAGUAAUGGUUCUUAAAGCCGUGAAAAUGCGUAUAUAUCCUAAUUCCGAGCAAUGUGACCGUUUAAUGCAAACCUUUGGUUGCGCUCGUUUUGUGUGGAAUCAGAUGCUUAAUAUGCAAAUUGAGCGGCGAAAGAACAAUCCAGACGCCAAGUUUGUCAAUGCCUUUGGCAUGAACAAUCUUCUAAAACGAUUAAAAGAAGAAUAUCCCUGGUUGAAGCAAGCAGAAUCAACAUCCUUGCAAAGCGCUAAUCGCAAUCUAGCCGACGCCUUUCAGCGUUUUUUUAAAGGGCAAAAUAAGUUUCCACACUUUAAGUCACGAAAGUAUGCACAGAGCUAUAACUCGAAAUGUGUUAACCACAACAUUAAAGUGAUUGACAAUCACCAUAGUGGAGCAUGUGGUUUAAUUCGAAGCUACGCGAAGAACCUUACCAGGUCUUGACAUCUUGCGCCAACCCUAGAGAUAGGGCGUUUCCUUCGGGAACGCAAUGACAGGUGGUGCAUGGUCGUCGUCAGCUCGUGUCGUGAGAUGUUGGGUUAAGUCCCGCAACGAGCGCAACCCUUGUUACUAGUUGCCAGCAUUAAGUUGGGCACUCUAGUGAGACUGCCGGUGACAAACCGGAGGAAGGUGGGGACGACGUCAGAUCAUCAUGCCCCUUAUGACCUGGGCUACACACGUGCUACAAUGGACGGUACAACGAGUCGCGAACUCGCGAGGGCAAGCAAAUCUCUUAAAACCGUUCUCAGUUCGGACUGCAGGCUGCAACUCGCCUGCACGAAGUCGGAAUCGCUAGUAAUCGCGGAUCAGCAUGCCGCGGUGAAUACGUUCCCGGGCCUUGUACACACCGCCCGUCACACCAUGAGAGUUUGUAACACCCAAAGUCGGUGGGGUAACCUUUUAGGAGCCAGCCGCCUAAGGUGGGACAGAUGAUUAGGGUGAAGUCGUAACAAGGUAGCCGUAGGAGAACCUGCGGCUG